UUAUGCCACAAACAAAGGGAGGGAAGGACAGUGUAGGUCACAGGCCCGCAUUCGGUCACUGGCUCAAAUCUGAGCGGAUGUGACCCCUCUGUGACAAUGUUCCCAAGGUGUACAGGGAGGAGCCGCAUGCUUUAUAACUAGGAUGGGAGCCAGAUAAGCUUUCCCUCUUCACCACCUUGGACUUCCUAAGGAUAACAACUCCAGGCCGCCGAGAAGCAGAGCUGGGGAGAGUGCUGAGAUAGGAAAUGCCGAGGCCUGUAUUAUCGUUGGCUCCCCGUUUCCUUGUUUCCUGUGCCAAAGGAGACACCUGGGACAAGAAGGAAAAAGGGGGGAAGGUGGAACCGACUUUCAAGUCUGGUCAAUUCCAAAUCUAUUACAAGAUCUGUCAUCAACUGGAGGCUGGAGGAAGAGUUAUAACUGAUACAGUGAAUCAGGCCAAGCCCAACUAGAAGCCAGAGACAUGGAGCCCAAGCGAUGCAAUCAUCCACAGACUUCAGCCUCCCAUGUCCUGAGCUUAGCGGCAAAUGGUAGAGUGUGACUCUGCAGGGCCCUGAUCUACUCCAAGGAGAAAAUCUCCCUCAUCCCUAGCCCAUCCUCUCUCCCAAGAUGUGUGUCAUUGGAGGGGCUGUGUUAAAGGUGGGAAAAUCCUCUGGGGGUUGCUGUUGGGAACUUCCCCACCCCUGGGUCCCCUUAACACUCACUCAUUUGCAUCAUCGAAUGGUGAUCUCUCUUUGUUUUAUCCUGAAUAACCCAAAUAAUUAAAAAAAACAAACUAAAUAAAUUCUAUUUCUCUCCAAUUAGAUUUACAAGGAUGAAAAGUUUGAAAACUACAUGGGUGAGGGUGUGUAGAGAAAGAGGCAUUCUAAUACAUCGUUGGUGAGAGGGUAACAAGAACAACCUCUAAGAAGGCAUAUUGACAGCAUCUGUCAAAAUCACAAGGGCACACACCACACUCUUUUUACAAAGAAAUUCCACUUCCCAGAAGCCAUCUUCCAGAUAUUUUCAAACCUGGACACAAUGCUAUGCACACAAGGCUAUUCAUUACUGCAUUGUGUGUACUGGCAGAACACUGGCACAAUCCAAACACUCAUCAGUGGGGGGCUGGUUAAAUAAAUCAUGGUUCACCCACACAGUGGAAUACUAUGUAGCCAAGAAAGAAGAAUGAAGAGACUCUGUAAUUAUUUCAAGUUAAGCAUAAAAGGCAAAGUAUGGUCUUUUGGACAAAAGUGUUGGGAGAGGAAAUGGAACUAUAGCAAUACAAUCCCUUUUGGAUCAAGGAUACACAUAUGAAACUGAAGACAUUGAUUGGGUCCAUCAAGGGGAUUGGGUGGCUGGGGAACAGCGUAGCAGGGAGAUUUUACUGGAUGACUUUUAGGUUUUUGCAUAAUAAAGAUAUGUUUUACCUACUCAAAAAAUGAAUAAAGUCAAUGUGUUAAAAAAAUCUUAUUUACAAGCUCAUACCUGACCAUCUUUGAACAGUGAGAAAUGUGUAUGAAAAACUGGGUGUGUGAAGUGAAGGAGCCUGGGAUUCGAAGCUUCCAGACUCUUGAGGGACCUACUGUCCUUGUCUGGAAUAAAGCUGCUCCUCAGCUGAGGCUGGACUCCUGCCUAGGACGUGAGGAUCUAUGAAACAGUGAAAUAAUGGAAAGGACCAGAUUACAUUCCCUAGAAGCUUUUUGACUUUGAAGUAAAAUAGAAGCAACCAAGGAAUCCCUAGCCCAUCCUCUCUCCCAGGAUGUGUG
rnacentral:lncRNA from 1 species